CCGAUGGAUGGCGCCAGAGUGGUUUCUCGCCGUAAGAAACCACUCUGGCGCCAUCCAUCGGU
rnacentral:pre_miRNA from 1 species